rnacentral:rRNA from 1 species
UAUUAGUCAAUGCUCGCAAGAGUGAACUAGCUAACUGAAAUCAUAUAACUCACUCUGUUGAGAAAUAUGAUAACGUAAGGGAAAAAAAUGAUAUUACCUUACUAUUAGUGUUGUCCAAAACUGGUGCCAGAAGACUCGGUAAGGCCAGAGACGCAAACGUUAGUCGUCCUAAUCAGGCGUAAAGGGUAUGUAGGCUGCUUUAAAAAUUUUAUCCCUUUAAAAAAAGCUCUAUAAUUGGUAUAAACUAAAAUUUAUAUCUAUUAUAGUAAAUAUAAAAUGAAUUAAAGCUAGGAUCAAAUUGAGGAUAAACCAAAUAAUACUUAGUGUAGGGUUGAUAUCUAUAGAUACUAAGGGGAAUACUAAAGGUGAAAGCUUUUUAUCUAAUAAUGAUUGACGCUGAGAAACGAAGGUGAGAAUAGGAAAUAGGAUUAGAUACCCAGAUACCUCUCACUGUCAACGAUGAAUGGUGGUUGUUAGUUUUAAUAAAAACUGGUAACGAUGUUAACACGAUAACCAUUCCGCCUUGCGAGUACGGUUGCAAAACUGAAACCAAAAAAAUUAGUCGGUCUCGAAGCAAACGAAGUGAAGCAU